AUUGAACGCUGGCGGCAGGCCUAACACAUGCAAGUCGAGCGAGCGGCGGACGGUUGAGCAAUGCCUGGGCAUUGCCGGGUCGAGGGGGAUAACAGCGUGACAAGACUCCUAAUCGCCCAUACGGUCGGAUUGCGCAGGUGGGAUUAGCUAGUUGGUGGGGUAAUGGCUCACCAAGGCGACGAUCCCUAGCUGGUCUGAGAGGAUGAUCAGCCACACUGGAACUGAGACACGGUCCAGACUCCUACGGGAGGCAGCAGUGGGGAAUAUUGCACAAUGGGGGAAACCCUGAUGCAGCCAUUCCGCGUGUGUGAAGAAGGCCUUCGGGUUGUAAAGCACUUUCAGCAGGGAGGCGGUACUCGCAGAAGAAGCACCGGCUAACUCCGUGCCAGCAGCCGCGGUAAUAC
rnacentral:rRNA from 1 species